ACUUCGCCGCUCGCCGACUCUUCAGCGUGCGUCCCCCUGACUACGGGAGGAGGAGGCGGAGAAGACGCCGAGCAACGGAUGGCGGCAGCGGCAGAGGGACGAAAACAACAAGAGGCACGCGGCGUACGCAAGCGCAAGGAUCCGCCUAGCCAUGGCCAGACGAUAGCAGCAGAUGAAGAAGAGCAACGACAGCCGCAACGACAACAAGAAGAAGGGCGGAAGCGGAGGAGGAAGCCGAAGACGUGCUUCGUCUACGGCAACUACAAGAGCUACUACAGCUAUCGAAUUGAUCGCAAUGUGAAGGAAGAUCCUAGACUUGCUCUGUUUAAGAGAGAAUGGUUUGAAGGCAAGGAUUGCCUUGACAUUGGCUGCAAUGAGGGUCUAAUAACUAUUAGCAUAGCAAAGAAGUUCUUUUGCCAAAGCAUUCUUGGCAUAGAUAUUGAUGCAGGUUUAGUUGAAACUGCUUAUUGGAACUUGCGUAAGUCAGCUAGAAUGAAACGUGGCAAUUGUACAUCCAUGGAGGCUUCUAGAAUACAGGAUUCAGAAUGUGUGAACUCUUUGAACACCAAUGCUGAUCCAGCUUCAAAUGGGAAACCAUCUAGUUCCCAAACCUCCCUUCCUGUAGAUGAACUUUUAAAGAGAGUUUCUUUCCGGCAUGAAAAUUUUGUUGGGAGUUUGCGUGAAUGCUCAGAGAAGUAUGACACAGUUCUUUGUUUGAGUGUUGCAAAAUGGGUCCAUCUGAAUUGGGGUGAUGAUGGAUUGAUCAAUAUGUUUGUCAAGAUAUGGAGACUUCUUCGUCCGAAACUGUCAUCGUCUUUUAGGGUGGGAUCCUACUAUUGGAAGCUCAGCCAUGGUCUUCAUACAAAAGAAAUCAAAAUGUAUCUGCGACUGCAAGGGCCCAAUUCAAAUCUAUAUGUUUAAGGCCACAUAAUUUCCGGGAAUUACUUCUAGACAAGGUUGGAUUCAGAUCGGCAGAGGUUAUUACCGACAGUUUAUCUGGUACAGUUGUUGGGUUUGACCGACCAGUUGUGAUGUUUUGCAAGUGACUGGAGAAGGAAAGGCAGUUGCAGUAAACCAUAUCUAUUUUUUCCCAAGAUGGAUAUAUGACAAGUAAUAGCAACCCUGCAUCCUGAGACCAGAUCAAAUUUUGGUCAGGAAGGGCCUGAGCUACUGCUGGAUCCACACUAAAGCAUUCUUAGUCUUUCAUAUAAAAGCCGAGAGAUAUAGAGCAUCCCUCCUAGUGACCUCUUGAAAAAGGAGAAGCUGCCAUUGUUAAGGGAAAAUAUGCAGGAUGGUGAAAAGUAUUGUACGUAUCAAAACUCCACAGGCUGAAGCAUUGUUUAACCAUACAAGGUUGUGAAUUUUGAGGAGUUGGGAGGACAAAUUUGAUGGCCUGUUCUGGUUUUUCCUUCAUGGCAUCCAUUUUAUUGACCAGAACUCGAGCAAUAUUUUAUUCUUCAACAAUAUAUAUUAGAAACAACAGUUGCUACGCAUAUUUCAACAACAAAUUGCAAGAUUUUGCAAAAAAUUUCUAUUCCAACAAUUCAUGCUUGUAAGAUUGUUGAAUUAGUCUGAGAAUCUAGCAAGUGGUCUGUCUCAAAGUGCUAGAUUUGUUUCUCCAUGGUGACUGGUAAAAAGUACAGAUAUAUUAUCCUGAUUGCAUGUGA